rnacentral:rRNA from 1 species
GAUGAACGCUAGCGACAGGCUUAACACAUGCAAGUCGAGGGGCAGCAUAAAAGUAGCAAUACUUUGGUGGCGACCGGCGCACGGGUGAGUAGCGCGUAUGCAACCUACCUAUCAGAGGGGGAUAACCCGGCGAAAGUCGGACUAAUACCGCAUAAAACAGGGGCACCGCAUGGUGCUAUUUGUUAAAAAUUUAUUGCUGAUAGAUGGGCAUGCGUUCCAUUAGGUAGUUGGAGAGGUAACGGCUCACCAAGCCCACGAUGGAUAGGGGAACUGAGAGGUUGGUCCCCCACACUGGUACUGAGACACGGACCAGACUCCUACGGGAGGCAGCAGUGAGGAAUAUUGGUCAAUGGGCGAGAGCCUGAACCAGCCAAGUCGCGUGAAGGAAGAAGGAUCUAUGGUUCGUAAACUUCUUUUGCAGGGGAAUAAAGUGCAGGACGUGUCCUGUUUUGUAUGUACCCUGAGAAUAAGGAUCGGCUAACUCCGUGCCAGCAGCCGAC